GAUUAACGCUGGCGGCGUGCAUAACACAUUCAAGUCGAACGGUGACGGGGCUUCGGCCCUGAUCAGUGGCGGACGGGUGAGUAACGCGUGAGCAAUCUACCUUCCAGUACGGAAUAACACAGCGAAAGUUGUGCUAAUACCGCAUAAUGUAUCUUUACCGCAUGAUAGAGAUACCAAAGAUUUAUCGCUUAUGGAUGGACUCGCGUCUGAUUAGAUAGUUGGUGAGGUAACGGCUCACCAAGUCGACGAUCAGUAGCCGAACUGAGAGGUUGAUCGGCCACAUUGGGACUGAGACACGGCCCAGACUCCUACGGGAGGCAGCAGUGGGGAAUAUUGCGCAAUGGGGGCAACCCUGACGCAGCAACGCCGCGUGAAGGAUGAAGGUCUUCGGAUUGUAAACUUUUGUCUUUAGGGACGAAAAAGGACGGUACCUAAGGAGGAAGCCACGGCUAACUACGUG
rnacentral:rRNA from 1 species